UUUUUUUUCUUUUUUGUUAAGUUUUGUUUAGAUUGUUUAUAUUUUAUAAUCACAAUUAGGGUUUAACUUUUUUUUACAGUUAUACUUGUUAGCUGAUAAGCAUUGUAAAGUGGACCUCCAAUUGGUUUCCCUAAUAGAUUGUCAAGUUUGAAACUGAGGACCUUUAAAGAUAUGCUGAGCAGGCAUACGGAGGAUUGUCUUGUAGGCCUAACUAAAAUGUAUCUUAAAAACACUACACAUGACAAGAAAGAAAUGAAGAGCCAACCUAUUGGUUCUGAUUAUUCUUUGCAGCUAGCUCAGUUUUCAGAAA